rnacentral:lncRNA from 1 species
ACGAUCUGCUCCCGGACUCCUUCAGCGCGCUGCCUGCCUGCCCAGGGCCUUCCCGGAGAGCAGGUGACGGCGGCCUCCGGGCAUGGAGCUCGCGCUGACGAAAGGUUCUGGAAGCCGCCGUAAAAAGUAAUCAAGAAACGGGUGACAGGACUUUUCGUAAGACAUUUAAUUUUUACCCAGAGUAUCCGAAACAUUGCCGUGUCAAUCUCAGUGCGAUGGGAGACUGCCGGCCCCAAGGAGCUGCUCGUCCUUCUGCCGAGUUCCGGCCCGGACCCGCGGAGGAGGAGACCGCCGCGCCGGAGCUCGGACCUGACGUUUUUGUGAAGCACAGGGGGCGUGGGAGGGACCGGAUCAAUGCGGCACUCAACAAAACCUGUUUUUAAAAGAGUCGUGCUGUGUCGCCCAGGCUGGAGUGCAGUGACGCGAUCUCGGCUCACUGCAGCCUCCACCUUCCGGGCUCAAGCGAGCCUCCCGCCUCAGCCUCCUGAGUAGCUGGGAUUACAGGCACACACCUCCAGCUCGGCUGUUUUAUUUAUUUAUUUUUUUUUUGAGACGUAAUUUAGCUCAUGUUGACCAGGCUGGAGUGCAGUGGCGCGAUCUGGGCUCACCGCAACCCCCGCCUCCCGGGUUCAAGCGAUUUUCCGCCUCAGCCUCCUGAGUAGCUGGGGUUGCAGGCAUGCGCCACCACGCCCGGCUAAUUUUGUACUUAUAGUAGAGACGGGGUUUCUCCAUGUUGGUCAGGCUGGUCUCGAACUCCCGACCUCAGGUGCUCCGCCCGCCUUGGCCUCCCAAAGUGCUGGGAUUACAGGCGUGAGCCACCUCUCCAGGGCCAAAAGCCUUUUAUUGGAGUACUGGGUAACACAUUCAGAAGAGGGUGCAUAGCUUAGGCGCUCCGUGAAUUUUCACAAACUGAACAUACACCCAGGUAGCCAACACCCCCAGCAAGCCCCAGAAUCCCCUCAUGCUUGCUUUCUGCCACUAUCAAGCAGUUUGCUUUCUUUCAGAUUUUUAAGUUUUGAAAUAAUUAUUGAAAUGUACAGGGAGAAGUCUGGGUUGGUGGUUCUAACCUGUAGUCUCAGCUACUAGAGAGGCUGAAGGGGGAAGAUGGCUUUAGCCCUGGAUUUCUAGACUAGCCUGGACAACAUAGCAAGACCUCAUCUCUAUUUGUUUUUGAGACAGAGCCUCGGUCUGUCACCCAUGCUGGAGCGCAGUGGACCUCCGCCUCCCGGGUUCAAGAACAAGGUCUCACCAUGCUGCCCAAGCUGGUCUGAAAACUCUUGUCCUCAGGCAGUCCUCCCACCUCGGCCUCCCAAAGAUCUGAGAUUACAGGCAUGAGCCACCACACCUGGCCUUGGUUUUAAUUCCUGUCACAGUAUAUUAGUUUUCGCUGUUGUGUAUUGAUUGAUUGAGACAGGGUCUCGCUCUGUUGCCCAGGCUGGAGUGCAGGGGCAUGAUCCCAGCUCACUGCAACCUCCACCUCUUGGAUUCAAGUGAUUCUCCCGUCUCAGCCUCCCGAGUAACAGGAACCACAGGUGUGUGCCAGCACGCCUGGCUAAUUUUUUUUUUUUUUUUCUUGAGGUGGAGUUUCACUGUUGUUGCCCAGGUUGGAGUGCAGUGGCACAAUCUCAGCUCACUGCAACCUCUGCCUCCUGGGUUCAAGUGAUUCUCCUGCUUCAGCCUCACGAGUUGUUGGGAUUACAGGCGCCCGCCACCACGCCCAGGUAAUUUUUGUUUAGUAGAGACGGGGUUUCACCAUGUUGGCCUGGCUGGUCUCGAACUCCUGACCUCAGGUGAUCCACCCACCUCGGCCUCCCAAAGUUGUGGGAUUGCAGGCGUGAGCCACUGCGCCUGGCCUAAUUUUUCAAUUUUUUGGUGGAGAUAGGGUUUCACCAUGUUGGCCAGGCUGGAGUUUUGCCUGUUCUAGAAGCUUGUAUCAGUCAUACAACACCCCUUUGAGGAACCGUUUGAGGUGUGGCACGAUACAGCAAGUCAGCUGCCAAAGAGGGGCUUAGCCACAGGAAGUGCGUGCCCAGAACGCAUCUCCCGUGUCCCUCACAGCAGUUCUAUGAGGCUGGCUGCCCUGUUUGACAACUGAGGCCCGCAUCUUCCCCGGAAUCACCGACGUGUGGCUCUGAGCCCUGUCCCAGGGAUUUUCUCCAUCAGAGAAGAGGAGCACUUUGAGCUUUGAGAGGAGCAGCCCUCUGCAAGUGAAGUGGAAAAAAAGGAAGCAGGCGAGGAGGCCCAUCCAGACCCUCCCCCAAGACCCUUGCUGAAAUGGCUGGGAUGCGGCGUGCAGAAGCUCUCCUUUCCUUCACAGCCCCUGGCUUUCCAAGAGUCCCUGCCCACCCAGAUGCCCGCUGGCAGAUGCAGCCUCAUCUCAAGGACACUGCUUGCUGGAUAAAUCCCUCACCACCCUAGAGACAGCCCACGGUCCUGAGACAAGGAUGCGGGCCAGGCUUGUUGCACGUAAGCGCCUCCCGCAGAAACCAGUGAGGCCGGAGUUCCAGAGGAAAUGAUGUAGGGACAGAGGCAGAGGGCCUCCAGGAGGCACCAGCCCCAGAGUCUUCCCUAGAAUCAGACUUUAAGCACAAGCAGGGAGGGAAAGCACUUGAGCAGUGCCCGUCCCUGCAUACCUGGCCUCUGCUGGAACCCAUGCAGGGACAGGACACUUCUUUAUCAGCAAUCCUGUUCCUCUCCUGGGCAGCUUCAACCUGAACAUCCUCCUUCACCUUGAGCUAAAAUGGGUUUCUUGUCACCCUUGCCCAUCAAACCUGGCCUUGCCCUCAGGAACCACACAGGACAAGCCUAAUACUUCCUUCUUGUGGCAACACUUUAGCAAUUGAGACCUGGCUGUCAGGUCCUCCAAAUAAACAUUUGUGACUGUGAUGUUGACUUGCCGCUUCUGGGGACCUCUUCUCAUUUGAUCGGAGAAAGUUUUUCAGGGUUAAACCUACUUCUUUCCCCCAAGAAACUCUUCUUGUCAGGCUCACGCCUAUAAUCCUGGCACUUUGGGAGGCCAAGGCAGGAGGAUUGUUUGAGACCAGCCUGGGCAACGUAGGUAGACUAUGUUGCUACAAAAAGAAAAAGAAAAAAUGGCCAGGUGUAGUAGUCCCAGCUGCUUGGAGGCUGAGGUAGGAGGUUUGCUUGAGCCCAGGAGGUCGAGGCUGCAGUGAGCUAUGAUUGUGCCACUGCACUCUAGCCUGGGAGACAGAAUGAGGCCCUGUCUCAAAAAAAAAAAAAAAAAAAAAAAGAUGAUGAAACUCCUCACGUAUUUCUCCCCGGAGCAUGUGCUCCCAGGCUCAAAUCCACAGCAGCCUCGUUACACACACGUCAUCCCCUGGCCCCGAGAUAUUGCACCGCCUUCCCCUUUCUAGCUCUGAACCCCCACAUGAAGCAGCCAGACGUAGGAAAACCCAGAUUCAUAAAGCGCUGAUAUGGGUGGUCCUUUACCAAAGGAUUUUCUGCUUUACAAAGUAAUUCACCAAAUGAUUUCCCUAGAGUAUGGGCAGAGAUUUGCAAACUACAGCUUGGAACCAAGCUGCCUUUUUUUUAUAAUAAAGUUUUAUCAGGAUGCAUCCACAUCCAUUCAUCUCUGUGGUGCCAGCUGCUCUAGCUACACAGGCAGAGUGGAAGAGUUGCAGAUGGCCAACAAAACCUAAACUGUUUACCGCCUGGCCCCUUAUAGAAGCAGCUGGCUGACGCUGGCUCCAGGGCAUCAGAAAUGGGACCAUUGGAAAGGAGUAGCCGGGCUACAUGGUUUUUCUUCUGCCCCACGUCUUGUUCUCAAACAUGCUUCCUCCCCAGUCAUCUGAGGAAUGUCAGUCUGAGACAGUCAGGAGCAGGUGUGCCUAGGGAUGCAUGGUUUCUGAAAAUGGGGUGGGGUCUUUUAGGCUGAGGGCUCUGGCAGCUUCUGUCUGAAGGCUGAGCUGAGCUGAGCAGAGCUGGGCAUGGUGGCUCACGCCUGUAGUCCCGGCUACUCAGGAGGCCAAGGUGGGAGAAUCACUUGAGCCUGGGAAGUUCAGAGGAGCCUGGGCAACACAGUGAGACCUCAUCUUUAUUUUUUGAAAUUUUUUGUUUUUAUUAUUUUUUUAAUUUUUAGGAGCAGAGGGUUAAUAGGCAAAAGAAAGAGAGAGAGGAAAACAGCUCUCUCCAGUGAGAGAGAGGGUACUUCUGAAAGGAAAACGCCACCGGCAGCAGAUGCACUGGAUUUUAUAGUCAGGCUUGAGGAGGUGGUGUCUGAUUUACAUAGGGCUCACAGAUUGGUUCAGUCAGGUAUGAUGUUUACAUAGCGCUGGGGUGUGGGGAAGGCUGACCUCCCCACUCUAAUCUUAUUAUGCAAAUGAACUUUCCCCUUGGCCAGCACCAUCUUGUCUGCUCCUUACUGUGCACGUGGCUGGCAGAGAAGGGAAGAUGGAGCCGCCAUUUUGAACAUGAUUGGCACAACUGCCUGCAUCUAUGUCUGCAGCUCGAUUUUACACGCUGCUCUUUGUUAGAAAGGAAAAUGAUUUGGGGCUGCUUUUCAGUAAAAGGAAAACCUUACUGAGGACUUCUGUAUCCUCACUAUCUAAGUAAUUUCCUCUUAACUCCUGUAUCAUUCCCCACUCUGGAGUGGUAACCCUAACUGCUCUUCGGGGUUGUUUGAUGAUGACUCUUUCUGGCUACUUCAUACUUAAAAGGGGUGUUGUGUGGGGAACAGAAGCUAAGGGCUCCUCCUGGGGUCGAGCUAAGGGUCCUCGGAAAAAAGGCAUGUCCGUGCAUGGUUCUGUCUGCAGCACCAUUUAGAGUUUGAUUACUGUCAGCCAUUCUGAUGGGUUGUAACACUGGUUUGCCUCCACCAGAUGUUGAGAUAGUUUCCAGAUUCCAGAGAAACCAGG